CGCCUGACCCGUUUUACAUCCCUACUUCGGCACAACCCAAAAUUUUCUAAUCUUGUCUGCCGCGAACGAACCGGCCCCGCCGUAGGUUGUUUCUAAGGCGAGUGGUCAUUCAUGGUAGAGAUUAAAUUUGUUUGAAUUUUAUUUUUUUGAAAUCAGGAGUAUAGGUUUAUGGCUUCCAACAGACUCAAGAAUCUGCUGUUAAUUACCCCACACUUUCGGUGUUAAGGAACCCUCGAUUAAGAGACCAAAUAUAAAUGUUAAUAAUAAAGGAGACCAAACAGGCAAAUAAAAUUUUAUUAAUAUGAUUUGC
rnacentral:lncRNA from 1 species